GCAGAUAUAACCCUAACUGGUAAGGGAACGGUUUGCUAAACCGUCAGUAACCGUCAAAUGACGGCGCGUAGGUUCAAGUCCUACUAUCUGCG
rnacentral:tRNA from 1 species